rnacentral:tRNA from 1 species
CGGGAAGUAGCUCAGUCUGGUAGAGUAUUGCGUUCGGGACGCAAGGGCCGGAGGUUCAAAUCCUCUCUUCCCGACCA